rnacentral:rRNA from 1 species
UGCCUUGUUCGACUUCUCUUUCCUUUAAAUCCAUUAUGUAUAUAAGUUUUUUAUAUUUUAAUUAUAAUAAAUCCCUUAGAUUUAUAAUAUAAUUCAUCGGUAAGAGCGACGGGCGGUGUGUACAAAGGGCAGGGACGUAUUCCUCUUGGUAUGUUAAACCAAAGAAGAGUACAAGGCAUUCCUAGUUAAGGCCAAGUGUAAUAAUUAACAAUACACUAUCCCCACCUUAAAUUAAUUAUAUUUAUAUUAAUUAAUCACGAUUUUUAAAUGAUUACCGAUUUACUUUCGAAAUAGGUUGUAAUAUAAUAUUAUAUAUUAUAAAGUAUAUAUACUUAUUAAUGUAAUUAUUGUAGCACGUGUGCAGCCCAGAACAUCUGAGGGCAUCACAGACCUGUUAUUGCCAUAAUCUUACUCUAUUUUAACACAUAUUUAGUAAUGACAGCGGUUCCUUUAAUUUUAUGCUAUAAUUAUAAUUUUCAAUAGCAAUAAAAGGUUACGGUCACGUUCGUUGCAUUCAUUUAUUAUAUAAUAAUAUAUAUAAUAUGUUCACUUUAAAUCCAUAAAUAAAUGGCAGAACUAAAUAUUAUAAUAUAUUAUAUAUUUUAUUUACUGAAACGCAAUUAAGCAGACAAAUCACUCCACGAACUAAGAACGGCCAUGCACCACCUAUCAUAUAAUCAUGAAAGGACUAUCAUUUUUAUGCAUAUAAAAAUAUAUUUUAUAUACUAUCGCCUGUCAAUCCUCAAUAUGUCUGGACCUGGUAAGAUUUCCCGGGUUGAGUCAAAUUAAGCCACAUGCUCCACGCGUUCUUGUGGUGCCCAUC